GACGAACGCUGGCGGCGUGCUUAACACAUGCAAGUCGAACGAAGUGGCGAACGGGUGAGUAACGCGUAAUCACCCUGCCCUUCAGAGGGGGACACCAGUGGAAAAGGAAUGCAAAUCCCGCAAACUGAAUGAGAUGAUUGCGUCGGAUUAGCUAGUUGGGGGGGGAACGGCCCACCAAGGCGAGGAGCAGUAGCCGGUCUGGGAGGAGUAACGGCCACAUUGGGAAGGAGGAAAGGGCCAGACGCCUACGGGAGGGAGCAGUGGGGAAGUUUCCGAAAAGGACGAAAGGCUGACUGAGCAACGCCGCGUGAGUGAUGACGGCCUUCGGGUUGUAAAGCUCUGUUAAUCGGGACGCGGUACCGGAAGAGAAAGCCACGGCUAACUACGUGCCAGCAGCCGCGGUAAUUC
rnacentral:rRNA from 1 species